rnacentral:rRNA from 1 species
ACGCUGGCGGCGUGCCUAAUACAUGCAAGUCGAGCGAACAGAUAAGGAGCUUGCUCCUUUGACGUUAGCGGCGGACGGGUGAGUAACACGUGGGUAACCUACCUAUAAGACUGGAAUAACUCCGGGAAACCGGGGCUAAUGCCGGAUAAUAUUUAGAACCGCAUGGUUCUAAAGUGAAAGAUGGUUUUACUAUCACUUAUAGAUGGACCCGCGCCGUAUUAGCUAGUUGGUGGGGUAAUGGCUUACCAAGGCAACGAUACGUAGCCGACCUGAGAGGGUGAUCGGCCACACUGGAACUGAGACACGGUCCAGACCCCUACGGGAGGCAGCAGUAGGGAAUCUUCCGCAAUGGGCGAAAGCCUGACGGAGCAACGCCGCGUGAGUGAUGAAGGUCUUCGGAUCGUAAAACUCUGUUAUUAGGGAAGAACAAAUAUGUAAGUAACUGUGCACGUCUUGACGGUACCUAAUCAGAAAGCCACGGCUAACUACGUGCCAGCAGCCGCGGUAAUACGU